UAAGCAUAUCAAUAAGCGGAGGAAAAGAAACCAACAGGGAUUGCCCCAGUAACGGCGAGUGAAGCGGCAACAGCUCAAAUUUGAAAUCUGGCCCUCGGGUCCGAGUUGUAAUUUGUAGAGGAUGCUUUUGGCGAGGUGCCUUCCGAGUUCCCUGGAACGGGACGCCAUAGAGGGUGAGAGCCCCGUCUGGUCGGACACCGAGCCUCUGUAAAGCUCCUUCAACGAGUCGAGUAGUUUGGGAAUGCUGCUCAAAAUGGGAGGUAUAUGUCUUCUAAAGCUAAAUAUUGGCCAGAGACCGAUAGCGCACAAGUAGAGUGAUCGAAAGAUGAAAAGCACUUUGAAAAGAGGGUUAAAAAGUACGUGAAAUUGUUGAAAGGGAAGCGCUUAUGACCAGACUUGCGCCCGGUGAAUCAUCCAGCGUUCUCGCUGGUGCACUUUGCCGGGCACAGGCCAGCAUCAGUUUGGCGCGGGGGAAAAAGGCUUCGGGAAUGUGGCUCCCUCGGGAGUGUUAUAGCCCGCUGCGUAAUACCCUGCGCCGGACUGAGGUACGCGCAUUGCAAGGAUGCUGGCGUAAUGGUCAUCAGCGACCCGUCUUGAAACACGGACCAAGGAGUCGUCUUCGUAUGCGAGUGUUCGGGUGUCAAACCCCUACGCGUAAUGAAAGUGAACGCAGGUGAGAGCUUCGGCGCAUCAUCGACCGAUCCUGAUGUUCUCGGAUGGAUUUGAGUAAGAGCAUACGGGGCCGGACCCGAAAGAAGGUGAACUAUGCCUGUAUAGGGUGAAGCCAGAGGAAACUCUGGUGGAGGCUCGCAGCGGUUCUGACGUGCGAAUCGAUCGUCAAAUAUGGGCAUGGGGGCGAAAGACUAAUCGAACCUUCUAGUAGCUGGUUUCCGCCGAAG
rnacentral:rRNA from 1 species